CACACAAACACCGAUAAAGCUACCUCUUCACACAUGUACACACACUUAAAGAUAUAUUAUGUUUCUAUGUGCUCUUUUUCACACACACUUACGAUACAAUGUCCCUCUCGUACACCCACAUGUGCAUGCACGCACACACACAUACACACCAGUGUAAGGCCCCAAUUCUCCCAUAAAGGCUCUAGAUUGAGAUAAUCACCCAUACCACAGAAAAUUAACCCGCAAAGCCACAGUCAAUUUGCUUGUUUAAAUAGCCCUAACCAUUACGAGGUGUGUCCAAGCACUGCCAACCCAAAACCAAACAUUGGAUUUGAGCAAGCUGCAGGUUAUACCAGCCAAUAUAUAAAAUAACGCCUUUAAACUGGUGAAACUUUAGCUCUUCUAUAAAUACCUGAACACAUAUAACAUUUAAAACAUGUCUCAUCCAUAAACCUAGAGUUUCUAGACUAGGGACCUUAUAGACACUGUAGGUUUGGGAUAGCGUGUUACAAGGGUGUAGCAAUGGUUUUACUGUGGAGAACUAAGUACUAAUGGUUCCAUGUGGAGAGGGAGUGAGUGACAGAGAGAGUGAGAAGUAUGUGUGUGAAAUGUAUAUGUGCUUGCGUUGGCCACAACAGUGACACUCUAUGGCGCUGUGGUGUGUGUGUGUGUGUGUUUAAAGCUCAGCAAAAGUGAUGACGCACUGACAUCACACCAUAACAGAAAUGUCCUAUCAACUUAUAUAAUCCCAAAAUAGCCUACAACACGGCCCAUCAGAAAUGCACAGCGAUACAAAUCACAUGUGGCUCUGGGCACUGCAGUGCUAAUUUAAUGGGACUCAAAUGCGGGGCAUUAGAAGAAUGCUGAGAGCAUUCCUGAACCACACCUACUACCAAGAUAACACAUGUCUAGCCUGAAGUCAUAUGAUUAACCUAACACAUGAAUAUAGUACUUUACCUCUAACACUGUAAUAGAAACAGGUCUGGUAUGGAGUACCAGUAAAUAAAUAGUAGGGGUAUGCCGUACUGGUAAAACAUGUGGACAUAUCACAAUAAUUAAAACAAAGAUUCUAUUUGUCAUUACCACAUGUCAGUCGCAUGAAAAAUGAGCAAAUAGACUUGAGAACUUGUGGAAUACGCUCCAAAAUGUGGUGUGACUGAGACUCGAGCGGACAGCCGUGUAUGUAUACAUUUUGAUGUUUUGUAAGUGAUGUCUCUUUGCAUUUAUCAAAUGGCAUACAAAUGGGAACAGGAGUUGAGAAAUAGGAUUUAUUUCUUUCCGCAUCUUGAGAGAAUAAAUGUUGACAUUCAAGACUAAAUGAAAUACUAUCAGUUGUUUGAUCGUUUUCACAGCAUUUAAUUUCCUUUAAACUGAUGUCAUUUGGAAAUCUCCCUGGUCCCUAAAUGUCCUCAAAUUUGACCAAUCUCAACUAGAUUGUUGAUGAUUCAUUGAUCAUUCUGUCGAUUUAUGACAUUCUAGCGAGCAAGUGCUUAUUUGGAGUUCUAGACGAGCAUUAAGUAUCUAAUUAUAGACAAGUUGGCUAACAAAUAGCCUUGCAAAUGUCAGAAAUUAUAAGCAGAAACAUAUGUACAUGAGGCUUAAAAAGUUGAAAACUUUUCACCGCUGUUCUAUUUCACUAUAUAUGUCCAUUAAUACGUUAAUUUAUCCUAUGUGUCAUAAAAAAAUAUUUGAAAAAUCCUCACUACACGCAAAUACGAGCGUUUCUGCAUCUCACCGGUAGAAACGGGCCAGCUACAUUUCGUGGUUGUAAGCAAACGACAAUAUCCAGAUUUCAUAGUGAUUUCAGGACGUAGGUACCACUCUGUGGAGGUGUAUCCAGUUGACGUGAGAAAUAUACAAAUGCCUGUGUUUGUAACCAGCACUUUCGGCCAGAGUGUUUCAAAACGGAACUGAAGUCUCAACUGAUGAUUUUUUUUCCAUGUCGUCGACUGUUGAAAAGUGAUGCUUUUCCAUCAAUUUCCUACUUCACUUCGAAGAGGAAGGGAUCCGAUCAGCCAACAUCAACGCUGCAGAAAAAAAAGUCAAGCCGAGAGACUAAUCCUGCUGCUGAUAAUUAAUCCUGCCGACCAUGACCAUGACACCAGCUUUAGUAGUACAGAGCCUUUAGACCCAUUGGAUGACAACUUUAAGCCUGGAAUAAGCUCAAGGCCAACAUCAUCUGACUUUGAACCAAGCCACGACAACCAAGGGAGACUUGCAGUACAUAGAAAUCAUCUGCAAGAGGUCGAAGCAGUGGGUGGUGAAGAACAUCACCACAGCGCCAAAGCCUGCUAAACCAGCUGCCAUUACCCAACACAAGAAGACGCUCAGCACACGAACAUUCUGGAACAUUCAACCAACGAAUCAUCCAUAUACAGUUUGACUGAUGCUGUAGUAUAAUAUAGAAUGCUUAACUGCAUUGUGGUAUAGUUAUUGCUAGCUUUGAACAUAUGUAUAUAAUGGUGUUUUAUACAUUUUUAUAUAUAUAUAUAUAUUUUAUACAAGUGUACUGACAAGUGACUAAAUGAUUCCAGCUGCAUCAGAAACCAAUAGUGCUGACUUUAAAUUAAUUGUGAUAUUCAUGAAAUGUACUUGAAUCUUACUGCUAAAAAAAAUUAUGGAGGUUGUUGGUGUAUCAUUUAAACUUUAAUUUGUUGGCAAGUAAACAUGUUAAAAUAAAACAGAUUUGUCUUCA